GGACUAAGGGCGGGAAAAGGAAGCGCAGACGUUUUAACCCUCCUCGGCUUCCGGAGCGGGAAGAAGUCCCCGGCCGGGCAGGCGCGUGAUGCCGGAACUACACGUCCCGGCGUGCACUGCGCGAGAGGGCGAAGCUGGGUCCCAGGCGACGGCUUUGCAAUCUCUUCCUCUUUGGAGAAACGCGGAGAAAAUGCCUGGCGCUUGGCCAGCAGCUUGACAUAGCCUCUCUGUUGGCCUGGAAGAUGCAUCUGGUUAGACUCAACAUGCGCAGUAUGCAUCUUGCUGUGUUAUGCUGUGUGAAUCUCGUGUUCCUCGGAAACUUCCACACUCAAGACAAUUUCCUGCAAGACCACGGAGGAUCAGGACAUCUCUGUCAGGCCUGAUCUACGCGAGUCCUUCACAAACAAACGGACAAAGCAAUAAGCAAACAGGCUGCUUUCAGCAAACAGCGGCAGCUGCCCGGCAAACAGAACAAAUGGACUCAAAGCGAAGUAUAAACCCCCGGCUGCGGAGAAGUCCAGUGAUUGUCUACCCAGAGGAGCAGACCGCCCUUGGAUUCAAUCAUAAAUAUCUCACAAUGGGUCUACAUAAGCCCCAUUCCUUUCCCAGGUAACAGAGAUAAAACCCCUCCUAGCCAGCUGCUGCUUUUUCUCUCUCCCAAUGCCAGCCCCUCCACACACGGAUUUGAUAAGCUCAGCUUUCCCAGCUGCUAGAAUCUCCCGAUUUUAGUCCCUUUUCACUGGAAUAAACUUUUCUUUCAGAAGCCCAUUCUAAUGAGAGGACUCAGGUGCGCCUUCUGUAAAAAUCUCCACAUCCACAAGCCGGGCGAGAGAACAGUGCAGGCUGGAAAGUGAGUCUUGCAGAGCAGGACUUCAAAAAACUUCCUGGGCAGGAUGUGGAACUGGUUUCCAGCUGACAGAACACUCUUGAGGCCUAAAAUGUACUAAAAGUGGAAAGGGGCAGAUUUCCCUCUCUGAAUGGAAACACUCUUGGCCAAGAGAGGCAUAAAUCCCGAGCCGUCCAGAAGACCUUCGUGCUCACGAUCAGCAGUGCAGGGACAGGCACUGUGGGGAGGGAAUACAGGAUGAAGGCCUCACUGAGCUUUAUCAAAAAUUUAUAAGGCAGUUUGGACCUCUGCAGCCCGACCCCAGCA